UCCGUAGGUGAACCUGCGGAAGGAUCAUUGAUGAUUUGCCGAGAGGCUUAACACCAAAACCAAACACCUGUGAACCGUCGGUCUCCGGACCAGCUUAUACCUAUAAACAAGUUUGUAAUGAAUGUGAAUGAGACAUAAACAAAAAUAAAACUUUCAACAACGGAUCUCUUGGCUCUCGCAUCGAUGAAGAACGCAGCGAAUUGCGAUAAGUAAUGUGAAUUGCAGAAUUCAGUGAAUCAUCGAAUCUUUGAACGCACCUUGCGCCCCUUGGUAUUCCGAGGGGCAUGCCUGUUUGAGUGUCAUGAAACAUCAAUCCCUCGGGUUUUGUAAUGGAACCCGUCGGACUUGGACUUGGGUGUCUGCCGUGGCUCAAGCGGCUCGCCUCAAAUGUGUAAUGGUGGUUUUUGGCCUCGUGCCCAGUAUCAGGACGUGAUAAGUCGUCGUCUUGAUCCGUCGGCCUUGGCCCCGCCUCAUAAAGAAAACCUUUAUUUGUAAUCUGACCUCAAAUCAGGUAGGACUACCCGCUGAACUUAAGCAUAUCAAUAAGCGGAGGA
rnacentral:rRNA from 1 species